GCCGGCGUGGCGGAGUAGUCAUACGCGACAGCCUGCAAAGCUGUUCUACUUGGGUGCAAAUCCCGACGCCGGCUCCA
rnacentral:tRNA from 1 species